rfam:Tupaia chinensis contig220868, whole genome shotgun sequence.
GUGACUUUUAAGCUGUUCACCCAAAUACUGAAAUGGAAAAACUACAGAAAAGAUUAACAUGGCCUCUGCUCGAGGAUGACAUGCAAAUUUGUGAAGCAGUCCAUAAUUUU